CUAUCAUCAUCUCACUUAUCUUUUUGUUAAGAUGAGUGGAAAAUGAGCUUUCGAACUUUUCGAAGGCUUGAAAUCUCUGAUUGAGCUUCGUUUCCUGACCUGCACUAUUCAGUGGGCAAACAAAGGCUCUGUUACGUGGAUAAUUUCACCUUACGGUGUAUCCUAUACGUCGCAGCGGCCGCACAUUGAGCAGUUGGAGAAACUAACUCACAAGCGAAUAACGUUGUUAACUUAAACACUUAACAAUCUUGUUCAACUUAUUCUUCUUGAAUA
rnacentral:misc_RNA from 1 species